GUCCUCCGCAACAACACAACCUGGAGAAGACGCAGAGCACCAGAGUGUGGAAGAGUCAGACGCUGAGCCGCCCAUCUCCGACUACCUGCGGAAGCUUCUGGAAGAGGUCUACAAGAGUGUGGCCAAAGAACUCUAUGGCUCAGCCACGGCCCCUGACUUUGUGUGGAGCAGCAAGCUAAAAUCAGCAUCUGCACCCUGCAUCACCACUGAAAAGCAAGACUCAACUGUUGGGUUGAAAAAGGGGAGUCAACGACCGAAAAGGUGUGUCUGACAGAUGCACAUGCAUGCACACAUGCACGCAUGCACAAGCACAGAGAGAGACAGAGAUAGAGACAGAGACACCUUUUGUAGGUACGGCUGACCAUGCAUGAAUCCCAUCACAUGCCUUUCAGCGCACUGCAUGUACUGUAGCUUGAAGAACUUUUAUGAGGUUUAUAGCAGGUUUAGUGUUUGGAAACUACUAUGACUCCAACAAAGACAGACUCAA